rnacentral:lncRNA from 1 species
AAACGUAAACUGCACAGAAUUCGUUCGUAAAAGCGCAGAGAGCAGUUUGCAGUUUGUAAAUGGAAUUAAGACGUGAACGUAAACUGCACAGAACUCGUUCGUAAAAGUGCAGAGAGUAGUAGCUAUGUAGGAGGUUUGCAGUAAUGAUAAAGUGCUCAAAAUAAACGCAAACCAGAGAUUUAGAGUGGUUCGGUCAGUCUUAACCUACUCCACUUUUGGCUUCCUCCACCGACGAGGUUACCGACGUCAACUAGAGGCCUUCCUUCAAUAGGCGAAGGCCAACUACCCUCUUACAGAUUCACUCCUUUUGAUGGGCUUAGGAGACAACCCUUACAGAUGUUUUCUCUCCUCUCUUUACAACUCAAACUUGAAGAACAGAAGGAGGAGGAAAACUAGCAGUUUUGAGCUCUAAGAACCACUGAAAAGAUCAAGAUUUCGGGUAAGUUCUUGCU